rnacentral:siRNA from 1 species
CUUCCAACCAACCAAAUCAUGCCA